AGUCAUCAAAGAAGUGAAAGUUAAAAUCACAAUGAGAAACCAUCACACAUCACCUAGAAUAGGUAAAGUUAAAAAGACAUAUGAUAAGUCUUAAUAUUGGCAAGAAUAUGGAAAAAAUAGAAAUGUCUAAUAUUUCUGAUAGGAAUGCAAAAAAUAUUGCAACCAAUUUGUAAAGUGGUUUGGCAAUUUCUUCUGCAGCGACCCAUCUAUUAUGACAUGACCCAGCAAUUCCACAAAUAUCUAUUCAUCCAAAAGAAAUCAAAAUGUAAGGCCACACUUGGAAGAGUUAUUUAUAGUGGCUUCAUUAAUAAAAAACCCUAACUGGAGUAAUCCACAUGUCUAUCAAUUGGAGAAUAGAGAAACCAGGGAAUAAACUGGGAUUCUAGCAAUACUUGGCAGUUGCUCAGCAACAAAAGUGAAUGAAUGGCAUCACCUCAAACAUUGUUAUGCUGAGAGACCAAACAAAGGACUACAUACAAUAUGAUUACAUGUCCAUGAAAUUCUAGAAAUUACACUACUGCAGUGACAGAAAGCAGAGCAGUGACUGAGUGAAGGGAAGGGGUGAGGGUCGGAGGCAAGGAUUAAACUUUUUAGGGAAAAGAAACUGUUCUCUACAGUGUCACAAUUCAGGCGUUACUGGGCAGUGGGGAUUGAGGGAAGAGGAGGGUGUGAGGGAUGAGGGGGGCAGGGAGAAGGGCUGGAGAAGCAGGAGGUGAGGAAAAGGAACAUGGGAAUUCUAAAGCAGUGGAAGAGCCUAGCAGGGGUUUUUUUUCAUUCCUAUUUAAUACAUUUUGUGGGACUUCCUAAAAACUAAUGAUCUCCUCAUGAUUAAAAAAAAAGGUUACAAAAGUACCAAGUGUUCAAGUAAAAUAUGCACUCUGCUUAGAUGUGCAUAGCUCAGGAAAGCUGGCAGUACUUGAGGGCUGGUGAAGAGCAUUGGGACUGCAUGGAGCACUUGCAACUUUGAGUGAUGACUACAGGCUCCUGGUUCAAUACACGGUGACAAACCUGCUUCUUUGUAUGCAGCUGAUAUUCUGGACUCACACAGGGAAACUCCGACUAGGGAGUGAAGAUAAUUUUAAAUGCAACAACCCAGAGUCACAGAUCCAUAGUCUGGGAAAGUAAAACUUAGGAGCUUUGAGAGUUUAACUGUAAUGCUGUUUUGACACAGGUCUUUGACAGAUUGGAAUCCUAAUCAUUCAGGUAUUACAAUAUUGUGCUACCUACUGUAUUAACAAACAAAAAGGAAACUGGUCUCUA